AUACAGAGCACCUUGAGAUCUUGGUAAAAUGCAGAUUCUGAUUCAUCAGAUCAAAGUGGGACCUGAGAUCCUAUUUUUCUAACAAGCUCCCAAGUGAUGUUUAU
rnacentral:pre_miRNA from 1 species